UGGAAAAGCUCACAGUCCUAACACACAGCCA
rnacentral:piRNA from 1 species